rnacentral:rRNA from 1 species
AGUGAACGCUGGCGGUAGGCCUAACACAUGCAAGUCGAACGGCAGCACAGUAAGAGCUUGCUCUUACGGGUGGCGAGUGGCGGACGGGUGGGGAAUACAUCGGAAUCUACUUUUUCGUGGGGGAUAACGUAGGGAAACUUACGCUAAUACCGCAUACGACCUACGGGUGAAAGCAGGGGAUCUUCGGACCUUGCGCGAUUGAAUGAGCCGAUGUCGGAUUAGCUAGUUGGCGGGGUAAAGGCCCACCAAGGCGACGAUCCGUAGCUGGUCUGAGAGGAUGAUCAGCCACACUGGAACUGAGACACGGUCCAGACUCCUACGGGAGGCAGCAGUGGGGAAUAUUGGACAAUGGGCGCAAGCCUGAUCCAGCCAUACCGCGUGGGUGAAGAAGGCCUUCGGGUUGUAAAGCCCUUUUGUUGGGAAAGAAAAGCAGCAGGUUAAUACCCCGCUGCUCUGACGGUACCCAAAGAAUAAGCACCGGCUAACUUCGUG